CACGUAGGGCGCAAGCGUUGUCCGGAAUUAUUGGGCGUAAAGAGCUCGUAGGCGGUCUGUUGCGUCUGCUGUGAAAACCCGGGGCUUAACCCUGGGCUUGCAGUGGAUACGGACAGACUAGAGGUAGGUAGGGGAGAAUGGAAUUCCCGGUGUAGCGGUGAAAUGCGCAGAUAUCGGGAGGAACACCGGUGGCGAAGGCGGUUCUCUGGGCCUUACCUGACGCUGAGGAGCGAAAGCGUGGGGAGCGAACAGG
rnacentral:rRNA from 1 species